rnacentral:rRNA from 1 species
AGUGAACGCUGGCGGUAGGCCUAACACAUGCAAGUCGAACGGUAACAGGUCUUCGGAUGCUGACGAGUGGCGAACGGGUGAGUAAUACAUCGGAACGUGCCUAGUAGUGGGGGAUAACUACUCGAAAGAGUGGCUAAUACCGCAUGAGAUCUACGGAUGAAAGCAGGGGAUCGCAAGACCUUGUGCUACUAGAGCGGCCGAUGGCGGAUUAGGUAGUUGGUGGGAUAAAAGCUUACCAAGCCGACGAUCUGUCGCUGGUCUGAGAGGACGAUCAGCCACACUGGGACUGAGACACGGCCCAGACUCCUACGGGAGGCAGCAGUGGGGAAUUUUGGACAAUGGGCGCAAGCCUGAUCCAGCAAUGCCGCGUGCAGGAGGAAGGCCUUCGGGUUGUAAACUGCUUUUGUACGGAACGAAAAGCCCCGGGUUAAUACCCUGGGGUCAUGACGGUACCGUAAGAAUAAGCACCGGCUAACUACGUGCCAGCCGCCGCGGUAA